GCGUGCGCAGCUGCGUUUCGGCGUUUUGGUUCCGUCUUCUGAGCCGAGGGUGAGGCGUGCUGUGCGCUUGGCCGGGAUGUUACCGGCUAUGGGUGCUGUGGAUGAGGAAGAGGAGCAGGCGGAGGAGGACUGUCCUGAAUUGGUCCCCAUUGAGACGAAGCUAAGAGAGGAGGAGGAAAAGUCUGGGCCCGGCGCCAAGAUCCCAGUCACAAUUAUCACCGGGUAUUUAGGUGCUGGGAAGACAACACUUCUGAACUAUAUUUUGACAGAGCAACAUAGUAAAAGAGUAGCAGUUAUUUUAAACGAAUUUGGGGAAGGAAGUGCAGUGGAGAAAUCCUUAGCUGUCAGCCAAGGUGGAGAGCUCUAUGAAGAAUGGCUGGAACUUAGAAACGGUUGCCUCUGCUGUUCAGUAAAGGACAAUGGCCUUAGAGCUAUUGAGAAUUUGAUGCAGAAGAAGGGGAAAUUUGAUUACAUACUAUUAGAGACCACUGGGUUAGCAGAUCCGGGUGCUGUAGCUUCUAUGUUUUGGGUUGAUGCUGAAUUAGGGGUUGAUAUUUAUCUUGAUGGUAUCAUAACUGUUGUGGAUUCAAAAUAUGGACUAAAACAUUUGGAAGAAGAAAAACCGGAUGGCCUUAUCAAUGAAGCUUCUAGGCAAGUUGCUUUGGCAGAUAUCAUCAUCAUUAAUAAAACAGACUUGGUUUCAGAAGAGGAUUUAAGCAAAUUAAGAACAGCCAUUAGAUCCAUAAAUGGACUGGGAAAAAUUUUAGAAACACAAAGAUCAAGAGUUCAUCUCGCUAAUGUAUUAGAUCUUCAUGCCUUUGACAGUCUUUCUGGAGUAAGUUUGCAGAAAAAGCUUCAGCAUGUGCCAACAACACAGCCUCACCUUGAUCAGAGCAUUAUUACGGUGACAUUUGAAGUACAAGGAAAUGCAAAGGAAGAAAGUCUGAAUGUAUUUAUUCAGAAUCUUCUGUGGGAGCGGAACGUGCGAAACAAGGAUGACAACUACAUGGAGGUCAUACGGCUAAAGCUGAUUGAACCCUCUCAUCUGAGCAGGGGCUGGUGUCAAUCAAAGACAAACCAAAACAGGUGAUUGUCCAGGGUGUCCACGAGCUCUAUGAUCUGGAGGAGACUCCACUGAGCUGGAACAAUGACACCGAGAGAACAAAUCGAUUGGUUCUUAUUGGCAGGAAUUUAGAUAAGGAGAUCCUCAGACAACUAUUUAUAGCUACUGUGAUGGAAACAGAAAAGCGGUGGACAACACAUUUCAAAGAAGAUCAAGUUUGUCCAUAACACUAGAAGCAUUUCUUAUCAGAGGGACUGGGUGAUAAAUCGGGAUUCAGUGUCCUACUGGGUAUAUUUCAAGUGUCUAUUUUUUGCAUUACUUCUGUUGUGAAUUCUGGCGUACUUUAAAAAAGUGUUUAUUUUAUGGAACACAUAAAAUGUAGUAAAUAAGUGCUUAAAACAUUUGACAUUCAUACAAUAAAACAUAAUGUCCUCUAAA